rnacentral:lncRNA from 10 species
GGACCUGCGCGUCUCGGGGAUGCGGGAGCGGGGGCAGGGGGCGGCCCGAGGGCCUGAUCCACGCGGCCCCGGAUGCCCGCGUCGGGAGGCGGCGCGUCGGGCCGAGGAGGGGCUUCUCUGUGGCUGCAGUAGUUUGUUCUCUGGGUCGUCUUUGGAGUGGCCGAGCGGCGUCCGGGCGCUGGGGCGGCCAAGUGGCGCGGGAAGGGUGGGAGGUGCCGUGAGGGCGGCGAGGACAGCGGCGGAUUUAAGCCCCACUGGAAACCCCGGCCCUUGUGGCCGUGGACUGGGCUGCGGGUAGCAGCGUCUCCUGGAAGGGCUCUGGCCCCGUGAGCCUCGGGGAUUCAGGGGCCGCCGACGUUGGUGCAGAUGCCGGGCGCACUGGGAGGCGGCCGGAAUGCCAAUGAGAUUCGGCGGAUACGCAGCUGUCACCGGCCGCAGACUGCCCUGUCGCCACCUCCAGUGCCUGCACUCCAGUAGCCAAGCAACAUAGGAAAUCGCGCUCAGAACCCACUUUGUUGAUUGAGAAAUCAGACACGUUGAAUCCGAGGUGACAUCUGUGGUCUGGCCGAAGGAGGCUAGAAGGAAGGCAUGUGCUUUGGAUGGAUGGAAACAGGAAUCAAAGAGGAAGCUGUUUUUGGAAGGAAGAAAGAUGGAAAGCGGUGCAGUUCUGCUGGAAUCCAAAUCCUCCCCAUUUAACCUACUGCAUGAGAUGCAUGAGCUUCGCCUCCUGGGUCACCUGUGUGACGUGACAGUCAGCGUGGAGUAUCAGGGUGUCCGCAAAGACUUCAUGGCCCA